AAGAUUUUUUUUUACACAACAUUUUAAACACAUUUUAAGAAUUAAAUUUUCUUUGUGGUUAAUAAUGCACUGUAAAACCUCUAUUUAGGGAAUGGGUCUCCUGUCUCUAGUUAUAAUUUAUAGAGCCUCAGCUGACGGCGUGCAGAGAAGGACACUUGUUGUACCACUUACUCCUAUGUUUUGUGACCUAUGUGUAGCUCAAACACGGCCCAGAAUUUGUCUCAUGUGGUUUAUCAGUAUUGCACUGCUCCAGAAAAUAGCUAAAAGGAUAGUUUUAAGAGAUUCUGUUGAGAUAUGCCAAGAAGCUGGAGUACUUUCAAAACUGUCAAACAGGGAGUGUCUGCUCUCUCACACAGCACACUUCAAAAGAUUAAUUAAAUCCCUAGUCUACGUCCCUAUGAACCUAGGUAAGCUCAUGAGCUACUAAAGCAAAAGGAAAUCUGAGCAAUAAGACAAGGAGAAAGAGGAGGAGGGAUGUUCAUAUGGAUCCUGUUGCUAAGGAAACUUCAGUGCUGCCUUUGUGUCUACAUGUUCAGACAGCCUCAUUUUGAUGCUGUGUAAGAGAACAUGACUUGUGGGAGUGAGGUGAAGAUUUACUUUAAAUAAAAAAUUAAAUUUAAAAUACCAGUAUUUUAUAGGUAUAUGUUUACUUAUAUUAUUUGUGCUUAGAAAUGCUUCUGACUUGCUUUUGUCCCUUUUCUUGGAGAUGGUUCUAUAAUGCAGUAUUUGUUACUGUUUACAGUUGAAUCCUCCCCCUCCCCAACCCUUUAGUGAUUUGUUUGUAUAGGGACCUGAUCCUGCUUGGGAACAUUCAGUACAGUAGGUGCCUCCUCUGGAGCUGACUGCUACUGUAAUUCUUCACAGUUACACUAGCUCAUCUGCUGCAUCAGAGGCUAUUCCACAUGCUGCAUUGGGCUGUGCGGGUCCACUACCAAUUCUCUACAGAUCUACUGCAUCCUGCAGGGCAGGAAAAGGGGGCAUAUUGGGAGUGAAGAUGCUCAAGCAAGAUGCUCAUGCUGGACUCUAAACGAGGAUAUUUCUUUGUGUUUGCAGCAGCAGAGACCCCUUCAAAAGUUAAAAAUGUACAGAGUGGAAAUAAGAGCCUACACGCUGACCCCCAAGCUCUUGGGUUUGUCUAGUGUCUUGCUAAAACCAGUCACCAGCUCCACCAUUACUGAUGUCAGGACCAAGUGUGGGAUAAUUAUAGCCUCUCCAGCUGACUACUGGACCUCUUAAUAUGCCCACAGUGACUGAGGUUCCAGCGUCAAAGUCACAUACAGAAAAACCAUGAGAACGGCCUAGUCCUGAAAUUUCUACAUAGUGAGACAGCUAGAAGAACUCAAGAUCCAAGAGCCAGGCAUCAAAGAGGGAAUGAACAGGGCCUGGUUGAGAAAAGAAAAGUUACUACAUUCAAUCUUUACAUCGAUGGUUGGCCAAGAGUUCCUGCACCUCCAAUGUACUCAUCAUGCCACUGACAGAAUGGCUCUUUCUUCAAUUGGUGUAUUGUAUUACCUUCAACAAUUCCACUUACUCAUAUCCUUCUCAAAGAAAGCAUACAUAAAUUGUGUGUCCUUCUGAACUUGAUCUUUUAGGUGCUGAGUAUUCUGGUCCCAAUAUAGCAAAGCACUUAGGAUGGGAUUUUCAGAAGUGCCUAAGGGAGUUAGGCACUCAAUUCCUUUAGGGACUUUUGAAAAUCACACUCUUAAGCAAGUAAUUAACUGUAAGCAUGUGAGCAGUCCCAUUAGCUUCAAUGGUACUAUUCACAAAUUUAAAAUUGGGCAUCUGCCCAAGUGCUUUGCUUGGUUGGGACUAGAGUGCUCAGAAUCUGGCAGUAUCAAGCCUUGUAUGAAUGUUUUGAAAGGAUGCUGGACUUCUGCCCUACCAGCUGGAUUCAGCUACAAAAUCUGAGCAUCGAUCUCUCCAACCACUGGCCACCAUACUUCUCAGUCUCAAACAGUGAGAAAUCUCAAGGCAGACCUGCCAAGUUUUACUCACUGUUGAGAAAAGAUUAAUUCAUUUGCGCUUAAUUUUAUGACAGUUUUGAAAGUAUUUCACUCUUGUAAUGAAUGUGUUUCAAUGAGACUUUCAAAAUAUCACUCCUCAUUUUUAAAAAUCACACGCAUUUAAAUUUUUACAGUGUGAAUGAGCCUUGUCAAGUGUUUUAGCAAUAACUAAAUAAAAAUGAAUGUGAAUGUUUUUGUUCUUUUUAGCUAAUUAAAUACAAAAUAAUAAUAUCUGUAAGGAAGGGAAUGUUGUCUAAAGAUUAGAGAAAAAAUGAGGGUCUAUUCUCAGCAUGACAUUCUGCAUGACCUUGGUUAAAUUAAUUUGCUUCUCUGUGCCUUACUUUCCAUUUGUUAAAUGGAAAUAAUAAAAUGUAUCUAGUCUUAGGUUUGCUGAACUGAUUAAUUAUCAUAUGGUGUUUUAAGGUGUUUGGAGAUAUUUUAAUUAAAAGAACUAUAAAUACAAAACAUAAUAUUUUUGGA